rnacentral:rRNA from 1 species
CACCGCGGUUAUACGAGAGGCCCAAGUUGACAGACACCGGCGUAAAGCGUGGUUAAGGUAAACUACAACUAAAGCCGAACACCUUCAAGGCAGUUAUACGCAUUCGAAGGCACGAAGCCCCACUACGAAAGUGGCUUUAUAAACCCUGACCCCACGAAAGCUAUGAUA